ACCGGCUCCCGGGAUGACCUUGUUGGUUUGGUGCCAAUGUGUUAAGCACGUCAUCAAUCACGGGUUCGAGGGGAGCUGGUACCAAGUCGGAAGCAACGUACAGGAAUUGUGUGUGUGUGUGUAUAUAUAUGGACCUGUCUAUGGUACAGAUUCUGUGACAAACAUCUCCCGUCAUCCCACCAUCCGAUCUUCUAUUGUUUAGUUUCUCACUCCACAUCCAACGGCUGAUGCUGCAGUCUGUAGCUUACAGAUUCUGUAAGCUAGUCAAGUCCUAUAUAUAUAUGUAUGUUCUUACAUGAAAAAAGGUAUUACAAAAUACCUUCUUUUUAUCACAAAUGCAAAAAAG
rnacentral:lncRNA from 1 species